GACGAACGCUGGCGGCGUGCUUAACACAUGCAAGUCGAACGGAAAGGCCCUGCUUGCAGGGUACUCGAGUGGCGAACGGGUGAGUAAUACGUGGGUGCUCUGCCCUUCACUUCGGGAUAAGCCUGGGAAACUGGGUUUAAUACCGGAUAGGAGCCAUUUUUAGUGUGAUGGUUGGAAAGUUUUUUCGGUGUAGGAUGAGCUCGCGGCCUAUCAGCUUGUUGGUGGGGUAAUGGCCUACCAAGGCGGCGACGGGUAGCCGGCCUGAGAGGGUGGACGGCCACAUUGGGACUGAGAUACGGCCCAGACUCCUACGUGAGGCAGCAGUGGGGAAUAUUGCACAAUGGGCGCAAGCCUGAUGCAGCGACGCCGCGUGGGGGAUGACAGCCUUCGCGUUGUAAACUCCUUUCGCUAGGGACGAAGCUUUUUGUGACGGUACCUAGAUAAGAAGCACCGGCUAACUACGUG
rnacentral:rRNA from 1 species